rnacentral:rRNA from 1 species
AUUGAACGCUGGCGGCAUGCCUUACACAUGCAAGUCGAACGGCAGCACGGACUUCGGUCUGGUGGCGAGUGGCGAACGGGUGAGUAAUGUAUCGGAACGUACCUUUCAGUGGGGGAUAACGUAGCGAAAGUUACGCUAAUACCGCAUAUUCUGUGAGCAGGAAAGCAGGGGAUCGCAAGACCUUGCGCUGAUUGAGCGGCCGAUAUCAGAUUAGCUAGUUGGUGGGGUAAAGGCCUACCAAGGCUACGAUCUGUAGCGGGUCUGAGAGGAUGAUCCGCCACACUGGAACUGAGACACGGUCCAGACUCCUACGGGAGGCAGCAGUGGGGAAUUUUGGACAAUGGGGGCAACCCUGAUCCAGCCAUGCCGCGUGAGUGAAGAAGGCC